rnacentral:piRNA from 1 species
UCAGAAAACUGAAAGCUUCUC